GAUGCAAAUCCAGACUGCUGUUUGUCCAUGCAGUAUUUAUGUGCAGUGGAGCUGAGUGGAGGGAUCGAGUCUCAUCAACACUCACCAUGAAGAUCCCACUCUCCUUAUUCCUGUUACUAAUCAGCCUCAUAGGGGUGAAAUGUGAAAGUCUUGAGUCAUUACAAACAACAGUGCAGAAGAAACCUGGAGACACUCUGAGUCUCUCCUGCAAAGGAUCUGGAUUUACUUUUAGCAGCUAUCAAAUGCACUGGAUCAGACAGCAGGUGAACAAACCACUGGUGUGGAUGGGGCUUAUCUAUACUGAUGGCAGUAAAACUGAGUACAAUAAACAUUUUGAAGGAAGAACAGGAAUCACCAGAGAUAAUUCCAAUAGCAUGGCGUAUCUGAAACUCUCUGGUGUGACAGCAGAGGACACAGCUGUGUAUUACUGUGCACGGAAAGCACUGUAGCAGAAAUUGACGAAACACUAUACAAAAACAUUAGUGGUGCUUCUGAUUCAUUCCAUCUGGCUAAUAUGGUUCAGAGAAAACCUC